rnacentral:rRNA from 1 species
UGGGGAAUAUUGCACAAUGGAGGGAACUCUGAUGCAGCGACGCCGCGUGCGUGAUGAAGGAAUUCGUUUCGUAAAACUCUGUUCUAUGGGAAGAAAAGGACUGUACCAUAGGAGAAAGCUCCGGCUAAAUACGUGCCAGCAGCCGCGGUAAUACGUAUGGAGCGAGCGUUGUCCGGAAUUAUUGGGCGUAAAGGGUGCGCAGGCGGCUUUACAAGUUGGAUGUGAAAUAUUGUGGCUCAACCACAAACGUGCAUCCAAAACUGCAAAGCUUGAGUUAAGGAGAGGUAAGUGGAAUUCCUGGUGUAGCGGUCGAAUGCGUAGAUAUCAGGAGGAAUACCGGUGGCGAAGGCGACUUACUGGACUUAAACUGACGCUCAGGCACGAAAGCGUGAGGAGCAAACAGG